UCCGUCGGUGGCAAGCGUUGUCCGGAUUUAUUGGGUUUAAAGGGUGCGUAGGCGGCUGUUUAAGUCAGCGGUGAAAGUUUUGGGCUCAACCCAGAAAUUGCCAUUGAUACUGGACAGCUUGAGUAUUGGAGGGGUACAUGGAAUUGAUGGUGUAGCGGUGAAAUGCAUAGAUACCAUCAGGAACACCGAUAGCGAAGGCAUUGUACUGGCCAAUAACUGACUCUGAUGCACGAAAGCAUGGGUAGCGAACAGG
rnacentral:rRNA from 1 species